rnacentral:rRNA from 1 species
CUUGUACAAGAUACCAUAUUGAAUACACCGGUUCUCGUCCGAUCACCGGAAGUUAAGCAACAACGGGCGUGGCUAGUACCUGGAUGGGUGACCUGCUGGGAACACUGCGUAUAGUAUAGGC